GCGGUUGUGGCGGAAUUGGCAGACGCACUAGAUUUAGGUUCUAGCGCCGACGGUGUGCAGGUUCGAGUCCUGUCAACCGCACCA
rnacentral:tRNA from 1 species